rnacentral:RNase_P_RNA from 2 species
GGUGGGGGAAGCUCAUCAGCGGGGUCACAUGCUGAGUGCUCCUCACUCCCCCAAGCCCCUGGAAAGAUCUGAGACUGGGGCCUCCAGCAGCACUAACCGGGUCCUCCCGGAGCAGGGAGGUGAGUUCCCAGAGAGCAGGGCUCCACGUGUGGGCAGACUUUCAAGCUCAAGAGCUCUUACAGAGGAAAGAGAGAUAUUGCAAGGGCCAUUUCCCUCCAUAACUCUCUUGCUACC